rnacentral:lncRNA from 9 species
CUAUGGUACUGGAGCUGGGUUUUCCCACAGGUAAACUGGGCAUUCAGUGUGCACUAGGGACUCCUGCUUUUCUGGAAAGUCCUAGGUGUGAUUGGAAUCCAGUUGGGGGUUGCAGGUGUCACCUUAUGUUCGUUACUUCUGGCAGAAGGUCCUGAGCUGGUGGUAGGCAUUGAUGAGGGAGGUGAACUUUGGUGCUUCCAAGGGUUCCUUGGUCCAGGCCCUGUCUCCUGAGAGAUAAAUAUGAUUCCCAUCAUUCCCCUGCUUUAAAACCAACUUUGGGCCUUUACCACCCAUAGCCAAAAUCUAAAUUAUUGCAUAUAGGACACAAUAAUCUUAAGAAACUAGCUCCAAUGGAUCCACUCUUCUUUCUCAACAUUUGUGACUUGUUUGCCCCUAGGAUCCUACGCAUUCAGCCUCUGGUCUCCAGAACCCUCGCUGCCACAGCAAAGGCUCUCUUCCUGGCCCCACCAGCUCCACCGAUAAUGCCUGAAAUAUUAGUCCUACACAAUCUGGCGUGGUUGAAGAGGCCUCAGAGUGAGGGAGAGAGAUGGAGGCCUCUUGCUUGGAGGAGAUUUCAGGAGGCUCAGACCCUGGUGGCACCAGUAAAAGGAAGCCAACUAAGAGUACACAGCCUCUUUGGACUAUGAGUGCAACAGAAGUCCCAGCUUCAAUCUAAGUAGACAUGUCUGGCCAGCUUGCAGAAAGAACACACCAGAAACCUAUUAAAUGCGCGCUGAGAAACAUCCUGUGGAGAGACUUCACCAUAAGAGAAGAAGGAGCUAG